UGGGGAAUUUUGGACAAUGGGCGCAAGCCUGAUCCAGCCAUGCCGCGUGCGGGAAGAAGGCCUUCGGGUUGUAAACCGCUUUUGUCAGGGAAGAAAUCUUCUGAGUUAAUACCUCGGGAGGAUGACGGUACCUGAAGAAUAAGCACCGGCUAACUACGUGCCAGCAGCCGCGGUAAUACGUAGGGUGCAAGCGUUAAUCGGAAUUACUGGGCGUAAAGCGCGCGCAGGCGGUUUUGUAAGACAGAGGUGAAAUCCCCGGGCUCAACCUGGGAACUGCCUUUGUGACUGCAAGGCUUGAGUGCGGCAGAGGGGGAUGGAAUUCCGCGUGUAGCAGUGAAAUGCGUAGAUAUGCGGAGGAACACCGAUGGCGAAGGCAAUCCCCUGGGCCUGCACUGACGCUCAUGCACGAAAGCGUGGGGAGCAAAACAGGAUUAGAUACCCUGGUAGUCCACGCCCUAAACGAUGUCAACUGGUUGUUGGGAAGGUUCCCUUCUCAGUAACGUAGCUAACGCGUGAAAGUUGACCGCCUGGGGAGUACGGCCGCAAGGUUGAAAACUU
rnacentral:rRNA from 1 species